rnacentral:ncRNA from 1 species
UUGAGCCGGAUGCGGUGAAAGUCGCAAGUCCGGUUCUGAGGGGGCGGGGACGCAGUAAUGCGUCCCCGCUACCCGGC